CAACCAGCACCACCCUCGCAGUCGUAGACACUACACCACCCAGCAGGCCAGCACCAUCCAGCGGCACCCCAGCGCCACCAACAGGACCGAUCUGGCCACCCCCAACACUGUUUGUGGCCACCCAUAGCAGUACUCUGCGUUUCUGGCCUGGCCACCCACAACACAGCAGCCACCGGUUGGCCCUCUUCCAGUGCUCUUCCUCCUUUCUAUCCACUUGAUUUCAGCUUCAGAUGCUUGCGGAUCCUAAGGAGGAAGGUCCCGACACAGUUCACAGAGUGAAGAAAUAACUAAUAAGCACCUUGAUUUCAUUGCCAUGUCUUAUGUAUGUUAAGUAAUUUCUUUUACAACAGCACUAGGUAUUGAAGUUAAAGUAGAAGCCAGGUAUAU